CUUUUACUGGUCUCCAGAGAGCAAUCAGUUCAUUGCCAAGCCUUUGUGGCCAGGGAAUCCAAUAACCAGCAAAGAUUCAGAAUCAAUUUCACGCCUCAUAGACGCCACCCAACAUUCCACUGACAUCGUGGUUUGCAACUGCCGAGAUCAUGAAGGAAAGUCAGCAUCGACGGGAACUCUCUGCACCACCACCCUCUUUUUUUUCCUUUAAGAGAAUCUAAUGAAACGCACACCAAACAAUGCCAGGGCUGAUACAUCAGACGCAGAGACGACGGUGCGAGAGACCAGGCAGUCCGGAAAACCUGCUGAGCAGAUUUGAGAGGUGUAAAAACUGUCCGUGGAUAGCGGAUAAGUGAUCGCCCAUCGUCUGCCUUGUAAAUGAAAGGGGCUCCGGCGAAGGUGCCCUUCAGAGGCCGGCGUGUGCGCUCGGUGUGUGUUAACGCAGCAGGCGGAUUUCCCCACAGCCAGAACUGCUCCAGCGUGAAACUGAUGAAUGAGGCCUGGGAGCAGCCUGGACACUCCCAUUUAACACAGCAUGCAGCCACAAAGUGCCACUGC